rnacentral:SRP_RNA from 1 species
CGGCGAGCUAGGCGGGGGGCUGCCCCUCCCCUGUAGCCACAAACGGGGCUUACGGUGGGCCGAAAGUCCGGAGGCGGCGCUGGAACCGCACGCACGCGCCGUUCCUCCACGUUGAAGCCUCGUCUCGCUGGGCCGGCGGUGGCGGGGUCGCGACCGGAGGGUCGUUGGCUAACCGCCUUUGCCUGCUGAACCCCGUUAGGCCCGGAAGGGAGCAGCGGUAGGCAGGACGUCCGGCGCUGGCGAUCAACGGGGUGGAGAUGGGGGAACGGCAAACGGCGUCGGGGAAGGCGUCCACUUCGGACACGCUCGCCG